rnacentral:rRNA from 1 species
GAGAACCUGCACACAGGUGCUGCAUGGCUGUCGUCAGCUCGUGUCGUGAGAUGUUGGGUUAAGUCCCGCAACGAGCGCAACCCUUGCCAUUAGUUGCUACGAAAGGGCACUCUAAUGGGACUGCCGGUGACAAACCGGAGGAAGGUGGGGAUGACGUCAAGUCCUCAUGGCCCUUAUAGUGGGGCUACACACGUCAUACAAUGGCCGGUACAGAGGGUAGCCAACCCGCGAGGGGAGCCAAUCCCACAAAGCCGGUCGUAGUCCGGAUCGCAGUCUGCAACUCGACUGCGUGAAGUCGGAAUCGCUAGUAAUCGCGGAUCAGCAUGUCGCGGUGAAUACGUUCCCGGGUCUU